GAUCAAUUUUAAAUCAUUCAAACUUUUAGAUCUAAAUAAAAAUCAGAUUAUACAUGUCAUAAAAAAUUUGGCUCUGAUAUCACUGUUAGAAAAUGGGUAGGGUUGCAUAUAUAUAUUUCAAAAUUAAUUUUAAAAUAGUGAAAAUAGAUCUAGGUUAAAUCUUUUAACCCCAUUUGUAAUAGAUCAUAUCUAAUUCUACCUAUGCCUAGAUCAACGACAUGCAUAUAAUGUAAAAAUAAAAAUAAAGUAUUA
rnacentral:lncRNA from 1 species